UGCUUUGUGCAGUGGUAGUAUCAUAGCCAAUGAGUUUAAUCCUAGGUGUGAUUAUUGCUAAUUGAAAACUUUUCCUUUAAGGAGAAAUGUCUUUGACUGAUAUAAUGCCAGGCUAUGAUCAACAACACUGGUCUUGUAAACCUUUGCUUCAAGAGCUGCUGUUU
rnacentral:snRNA from 14 species